GUGGAUUAGAUACCCUGGUAGUCCACGCCCUAAACGAUGGGUACUAAGUGUCGGCGGGUUACCGCCGGUGCCGCACCUAACGGAGUAAGUACCCCGCCUGGGGAGUACGGCCGCAAGGUUGAAACUCAAAGGAAUUGACGGGGGCCCGCACAAGCGGUGGUGCAUGUGGUUUAAUUCGACGCAACGCGAAAAACCUUACCCAGGCUUGACAUGCUAGUGGUAAGAACCGGAAACGGGGAUGACCCUGAAAGGGGAGCUAGCACAGGUGCUGCACGGCUGUCGCCUACU
rnacentral:rRNA from 1 species